rnacentral:rRNA from 1 species
GGCCUGGCCGGGCGGUCCGCCUAACGGUGUGUUACUGUUCGGCUGGGUCUUACCUCUUGGUGAGCCGGUUCGUAUCCUUCAUUGGGUGCGGGUCGGGGAACCAGGACUUUUACCUUGAGAAAAUUAGAGUGUUCAAAGCAGGCCUAUGCCCGAAUACAUUAGCAUGGAAUAAUAGAAUAGGACGUGCGGUUCUAUUUUGUUGGUUUCUAGAGUCGCCGUA